rnacentral:rRNA from 1 species
AGAGUUUGAUCCUGGCUCAGAAUCAACGCUGGCGGCGCGCUUAACACAUGCAAGUCGAACGAGAAAGCCCGCAAGGGUGAGUAAAGUGGCGUACGGGUGAGUAACACGUGGGUAAUCUACCUUUUGGUGGGGAAUAACGCUGGGAAACCGGCGCUAAUACCGCAUAAGCCUGGAAAGGGAAAGGAGUAAUUCGCCGAAAGAGGAGCCCGCGGCUGAUUAGCUAGUUGGUGAGGUAAGAGCUCACCAAGGCGAAGAUCGGUAGCCGGCCUGAGAGGGCACACGGCCACACUGGCACUGAAACACGGGCCAGACUCCUACGGGAGGCAGCAGUGGGGAAUCUUGCACAAUGGGGGAAACCCUGAUGCAGCGACGCCGCGUGAGUGAUGAAGCCCUUCGGGGUGUAAAGCUCUUUCGGCAGGGACGAUAAUGACGGUACCUGAAGAAGAAGCUGCGGCUAACUACGUGCCAGCAGCCGCGGUAAUACGUAGGCAGCGAGCGUUGUUCGGAGUUACUGGGCGUAAAGAGUGCGUAGGCGGUUUUCUAAGUUUGGUGUGAAAUCUCCCGGCUUAACUGGGAGGGUGCGCCGAAGACUGGAAGGCUAGAGUAUGGGAGAGGUAAGCGGAAUUCCUGGUGUAGCGGUGAAAUGCGUAGAUAUCAGGAGGAACACCUGCGGUGUAGACGGCUUACUGGACCAUAACUGACGCUGAGGCACGAAAGCGUGGGUAGCAAACAGGAUUAGAUACCCCAGUAGUCC